rnacentral:misc_RNA from 1 species
CAGAGCUGCAAAAGCUACCUUAAAACCAUCGCGAAUCUUAUCCCGUACGGUUGCCUUCGGCGCUGGCGGCUCCCUCCGGAGGACCUCAGGGCCCCCGGAUCCUCGGUCUCCCGCUCGAGGAGGGCAGCCGCCGGAGUGCCGAAACUAAACUCUGAUAUUAUAGUGUAUCUCUGAGUACACUAAAUAAGUUA